rnacentral:rRNA from 1 species
GAUGAACGCUGGCGGCGUGCCUAAUACAUGCAAGUCGAGCGAACAGAUAAGGAGCUUGCUCCUUUGACGUUAGCGGCGGACGGGUGAGUAACACGUGGGUAACCUCCCUAUAAGACUGGGAUAACUUCGGGAAACCGGCGAUAACACCGGAUAAUAUUUGGCACCGCAUGGUUCUAAAGAGAAAGAUGUUUUUGCUAUCACUUAUAGAUGGACCCGCGCCGUAUUAGCUAGUUGGUAAGGUAACGGCUUACCAAGGCAACGAUACGUAGCCGACCUGAGAGGGUGAUCGGCCACACUGGAACUGAGACACGGUCCAGACUCCUACGGGAGGCAGCAGUAGGGAAUCUUCCGCAAUGGGCGAAAGCCUGACGGAGCAACGCCGCGUGAGUGAUGAAGGGUUUCGGCUCGUAAAACUCUGUUAUUAGGGAAGAACAAACGUGUAAGUAACUGUGCACGUCUUGACGGUACCUAAUCAGAAAGCCACGGCUAACUACGUG